UACGGAGGAUGCAAGCGUUAUCCGGAAUGAUUGGGCGUAAAGCGUCCGCAGGUGGCUAUGUAAGUCUGCUGUUAAAGAAUUACGCUCAACGUGAUCAAAGCAGUGGAAACUACAUGGCUAGAGUGCGUUCGGGGCAGAGGGAAUUCCUGGUGUAGCGGUGAAAUGCGUAGAGAUCAGGAAGAACACCGGUGGCGAAAGCGCUCUGCUAGGCCGCAACUGACAAUGAGGGACGAAAGCUAGGGGAGCGAAUGGG
rnacentral:rRNA from 1 species